CAGUAGCCACGGGAAUACGGAGGGUGCAAGCGUUAAUCGGAAUUACUGGGCGUAAAGCGCACGCAGGCGGUCUGACAAGUCAGAUGUGAAAUCCCCGGGCUUAACCUGGGAACUGCAUUUGAAACUGUCAGGCUGGAGUCUUGUAGAGGGGGGUAGAAUUCCAGGUGUAGCGGUGAAAUGCGUAGAGAUCUGGAGGAAUACCGGUGGCGAAGGCGGCCCCCUGGACAAAGACUGACGCUCAGGUGCGAAAGCGUGGGGAGCAAACAGGAUUAGAUACCCCUGUAGUCCCUGUCUCUUAUAA
rnacentral:rRNA from 1 species